rnacentral:misc_RNA from 1 species
AAAGAUUUAGUUGAGUUGAGUUGUUGAAUUUGAUCAAAACUAACUGAAUUGGAACUGGGACCAGGAUGAACCCUUUGGUCUGGUCCUGGUUAGACCUAAUCCUUGAACUGGAACUGGCAGUUGCAGUCAGACCAGCCCGCUGGCAAUGUCUAGAUAUGAAUACUUGUACCUUUAUCUUUUGAAAAAUUGAGGAUACCAUAUGGCAGAGAUGUACUAAUUAAUUGAUAUUUUUAAAUACACAUUUAAAUAUGCUUUAUUUAUCUCUUGCCAAAUGCAUAAAUUUCAACCAUUAAAAAAUUUAUGUAAAACUAAGUUUUUUUUUUAUUUUGAAUGAGAAUAAAAGAAGAAAAAUUAUAUGGUUGAUAGUACACUUUUAAUUUUUACACAAACUUCAUGCUAGCUUAUCCUUUCAUUUUAAAUUAGAGAAAAUCCAGGAAUAAUUUUUUUUUGAUUGCUACAUGUUGAAUUGACAGGUAAUCUAAAGUUUUACCAUCUAGCUUGUACAUUCUGGAACAUAUCUUACAGAGUUUUAUUGUUUUUGAUAAAAAUGACUAUAUAAAGAAAUUUA